ensembl:snRNA U4 U4 spliceosomal RNA
AGCUCUGUUUAGUGACAGUAUCAUAGCCAAUGAGGUUUAUCUGAGGCACAAUUACUGCUAAUUGAAAACUUCUCUAAUAUGACAUACAACAAGCACAAUAACAAACAUUUUCUUUAGUACAAAAAUCAAUACAGUAGUUACGGUUUGCUAAUUAAAUCAAUUUA